rnacentral:piRNA from 1 species
UAUGAAGAAAAAGACAGUAGGGAAUG